rnacentral:lncRNA from 1 species
UGGCGGUGCCGAGGACUCGGUGUUCCAGUACAGACUUUCCACUGGUGAGCUGGAGAGACUGAGCAUUUCGAUCUGCGCUGGGAGCAGCUGACAGCGCGCGGGGAUGUGCUGACGGCAUUAUGGGCAGGCGUUACCCAGGGGCUCACUAUCGGCCAAGCAGCUCAUAUUUCAAAUUAUAAUCUAUUUCCUGAUGCAUUGCUGACG